CUCAUCACCCAUGCUGUGGUGGUGGCCUACAUACGAAAUAGAGGAAGACUGGCACAGAUGUUAGCUCAGCGACAAUCUUCGUCAGCCAAAAAAAACCUUUCCACAAACGUGCUGUACUUCCGUAACUUGAGUUUUUCAUUCAACACAUUAUUUUUGACAGCCUUCCAUGUUCUAAAUAGUUUCUCCUUCAAUUCUAUGUAUUACUUAUUAAUUACCCUCUAAAUUGAAGACAGUGAAACCUGCCUCAGAGAGAAUUCUUGUGAGAUAAUAUAAAGUGCUUAUUGCAGUGCCUGACUCAUGAUGGGUGUUCGAUUUUUGAUAGAUACAUUAUUGUUAUAUAAUUAAUAUAUUGCUGCAAUUGCUAUAUUAUCAUAUAUGUUAUUAUAUAUAUUAGUUAUUGCUCUUUUCUGUGGGAAUAUGUAUUAUUUCAUCAGCUACAUUAUACAUUAGUAGUUUUCAAGCUAUAGUAAAAUCUGAGUUACACAGACCUUUGGGAAGUACCUUAUUCUAGAUACUUGAAUUUCUGGAUAGCUAAGAUUUAAUUUUUUUAUGGGCCAAAUUUAUUUCUAAACGUAUCUUUUUAAAUUCAAACAAACUAAAAGAAUGAACUUUAUUAAAAAUUUCAGCCAUUUCCAAAUUCUCUUCCAAACUUGUUAAUGAACAUAUCUGACAGAUUUUAAUCAGACAGCACAAAUUGUUCUGUGUUCUGCUUUAAAAUCUUCCUUCAUUUGUGCACUUCCACAUACAGACACAGCCAAUAGAAGUGCCAUUUUUCAUGACUGUUUGCUUCCCCGACUCCCAUAGUCAGAGGAGAGCAGCAGAGGAGAAAGGGCAGGAAGCAGACGGGCUCUGAGCCCUGCCCGGGAGCCCUGCUGGGAUCCUGAUCCCUCCGUGGGAGGGUCACACAGUCUCCUGGGCCAUCACUUUUUUCCACGGCAGCUGCUGGUGCCAGUUUUCAAACUGCUGCCAUCAGAGGGCAGUCUGGUCCUGUCCACCAGCACAGGUCCAGCGGUGGGGCUUCCGGGAACCCCAGUGCAGGAAACAACAGCAGGGUCAAGGGCAGGCACCAAGGGAGGCGGCCUUGGGUUUAUGACCAGCAUCUGUAACAGUUACAGUUCCCGGCCACCUCCACCCGGCUCCCACUGGUCACAAUAUGGUAAAUGACACAGGGGGUUGCUGGGGUUCCGAUGAACAUCACCCUGUCACUCCAGGAGCUUCUAGGUCAGAGAGCUCGUCCUUCCCACCACUGCACACAUCUGGAUGCAUCAGCAAGCUUGUGUGUGCACUGACCCUGUCGUUCCAGGAGCUUCUGGUCAGAGAGCUCCUUUCCCGUCACUGCACACAUCUGGACGCAUCAGCAAGCACGUGUGCGCACAGGCACUGUCGCUCCAAGAGCUUCUGGGUCAGAGAGCUCGUCCUUUCCCCACCACUGCACACAUCUGGAUGCAUCAGCAAGCUCGUGUGUGCACAGGCACUGGCGCUCCAAGAGCUUCUGGACAGAGAGCUCCUUUCCUACCACUAUACACAUCUGGACGCAUCAGCGAGCUCAUGUGUUCACAGGCACUGUCACUCCAGGAGCUUCUGGGUCAGAGAGCUCAUCCUUUCCUACCACUGCACACAUCUGGAUGUAUCAGCAAGCUCGUGUGUGCAGAGGCCCUGUUGUUCCAGAAGCUUCUGGGUCAGAGAGCUCGUCCUUUCCCCACCACUGCACACAUCUGGAUGCAUCAGCAAGCUCGUGUGUGUACAGGCACUGUAAUUGUUUUGUGGAUAUGAACCCUCACACAAGAAUUAACUUAUUUACAACAAUAUUUUAACAUUUCCAAAAAGCUGAACAUUUUGAAGUUCUCUAUUUCUGUUAUUUCUAAUUUUAUUGCAUUACGUCCGGAAAUGUAAUGUGUACUAAGUGUAGUUUUUGUUUGCAAAUUAUGGUCAAAAGUAUUUCUACUUCUUUGCAAGUCUGUUGACACACUUUUUUUUAACUUUGUUACCACAUUCUUUUGAGCAUAUUCAUACAGAUCUGUUAUGUGUUCAUAGUUUCUGGCGCUUAAAAAAUUCUCACCUUUCAUUCUCCCUUCAACUUUUCCUUCUAUGCCCUUUGCUCUAGAUUCGAUGAUCUGAUAUCUAUUUGUGAGUUAAGAUUGCUUUCAGUUCUAGAUACCAGAACAUCUCACAUGUAAGUCUCAACAAGAAGGUAGGAGAGGAGGCUGAAGGAGCAGGCAGGGGCCAGGUUGUCUAAGCUCUUAUUCUCUCACAAUGAGAAGCAGUGGCAGAAUUUGAAUGGGGAGGUGGGUGGUGCAUAUCCUUGCUCUUCAUGCUUUCAAGAGGUCACUCUGCAUGCUGAGUGAAGAAUGGCUGGAGGAGGGCAAGAGAGGAAGCAGGGAGACAGUUAGGAGACUGUCCUUGGCAGGAGACCAGUAAGAGAGAAAGGCAGCUGAACCGGGUUCUAGAAAUGGAGACAGCGAGAAGCUGCAAUCAGGAUGCACGCUGCAGGCAGAGCCAACAGGACUUGCUGUGAGACUGCGUGUGGGCUGAAAGAGUGAGAUAAGAAUAAGAACUUAACCUUGAAUUGAGCAAAACGGAAAUCAUUGGAGACCUGGCUACAAGCCACUUCAGCGAAGUGCAGUGGAGGAAGCAGGAAUGGAAUCGGUUCAGGAGAGAACGUGAGGAGAGGCCGCUUGAACGGAGCAGAGAAGCCGAUGGUAACUGGAGAGGAAUCUGGGGUCAGAGGAUGUCUGUCUGUUUAAUGCACAACCUUAGGGUGUCUUUGUAUGCAGAUGUUGGCAAAGAGUCAUCACAGACACAGGACUAAAGAACUCUGGAGGAAACCUGAAAGGGUUUCUCAGCCCAAUUUUGUGCAAAGUUACAACUUGAAUCUUUAAAAUAAAUGGGAUUUUUGCCAUCCUUUCAUAAUACAGGUACACCCCACAGAACACGUCCCCAGUUAAUGUUCUCCUGGAAGAAGACAUUAGUUUUUAAUACUUAAACUAAACAGCAGCUACUUGCUCAGUACGUCUUUCAGCUGAUAUUUAUAUAAACUUUACAUCAAGUCUUCAAAAAAUACAACAUUUUAAACUAAAUGGUUUGCAAGACAAGCUUCAUGUUGCUUCCAAAUACAAUUGGUAGGCCAUUGAUCAUGCUAGUCACUGCAAAGCUUUGGAAUAUCAGCAAGAUGUACAAUAUCUGAUGUUGCAGGUCUAGGAGAAGCCACUGCUGCUGCGAAAGCAACUGCAUGCUAACAAGCACAUAAAUGGAAGGUGACCAAGAAGGACUAUUUCAAGCAUUUUACAUCCUAACAUGGUAUCUAUAACUUAUAUCUAGAUGUCAUAUUGUGAUUUAGGAAAUUGGUAGGGUUUUUCCAGGACUUGCAAUGUCAUUAUUUUUGCUAUUUAAAAUAAGAGAAAACAGGUUCUCCUUAGCAUUUUUUCAGAGAAAGUGUGACAUUUCAGGCACAAAUUACUGACAGUUAUUAAUGGCAGAUGACUUCCAGUCUUGUUUUGGUUUUAAAAUUUUAAUUACUUACCUUGGAAACUACUUAACUUUGUUUCUUCCAAACGUUGUAGUAAAAUUGAUGCUCCAGAAAGUUGCACCACAGAUACUCUGCUGUUUUGCAUCCUCUCUGCACAGAACUGGGGUGGCCAAUACUCAUUUGACAAGCAGGUAGCAAUGCAGAACUUGGAAUUAUCAGAGAAACAAAAUGGGAAAAUGACUUAAGAGAAUCAUCAGUGUAACCCCCAAAAGCAACAAAUUAUUAAAAGUGGUUCCAAAGGGGUAUUUAAAAAGAGAUAUUAAAAGUGGUUCUAAAGGAGCCUAUUAUAGAGCAGAAAUGCUGAAGUUGUGUAUUACCUUUGUCGAUGCAAAUAAUCCAUAACCAACCUAUAAAUCAAAAUUGGGGGGAGUUUAUCAUGAGCCAGAGUGAGGAUUAUAACCCAGGAAGGCCUUAGAAGGUGUUCUGGAGAAGCGGUGGGUUUCAGUACAGUCUUACAUCUUUUUAGAACAAAAGAUAUAUUGAACACACCCGGGAUACAUUUCCAAAGAGGUAUUCAGUUGCAAAUUAGCAGGUCAACAUGACCAUGAUGCCAGGAAAGGGACUAAUAUGGGUGUUAUUAAUAGGGUGUCAACGAAAAUAACCCAUAAUCAAUCUAUAAAUGAAAAUUUGGGUGAGUCUAUUCCGAGCUAAAAUGUGAGGACCAUGGCCUGAGGCCUUUCUUCCCGAAGGAAGAAAGGGCACCAAAGAAGUGAGGUAUACAGAGCGGUUACAUACCCCCAAACAGGAUGUUUCACAUAUGAUUGAAAUGUCCCUUUUACAAUAGUCACAAGAUUGCCCUGUCGGCACAGCACUUGAUGGACACAGCAGGUAGUGGGUCUGCUAUCUUGGUGGGCGCAGCAGGAGGCAAGUCUAUUGUCUUGAGCUGGGAGGUCACAGGUGAGUGGAGCAAUCAGUUCCUAGCCUAAGAAAAGAUGCUUAAUCUUUAAGGAAAGCCAAAGUUGGGAGGGGGAGGGAAGUUGCACCUUUAUCUCAAGGGCCUUUGUUCUUGCCAUAGGGAAUGUCUAAAGCAGAUAUACAAUGCAUGCUCAACAGCCACCGUCAGACCCUUUUGGAAAAAGAAGGUCAGGCCAAAGAAUGGGGGCUGCCCACUGUGACGUUUCCUCCUUUUAUAACAUGGCUGGGGCAGUCCUUCCAAGAGGUCUGACCAAGGAGUGGACCGUUCAGCCAGCCGGAGUCCAAAGCCAGCUCUGGAGCGAGCCUGACCACCCGGUCCAGAGGGAGGAUCCUUGCAGCUAGAGGGAUGGAGGGGAUGGCGGGAAAGACGGCAGUGAAAAGGCAACUUCCAGGAUCUGCUGAGAACAGAGGACAACCACAUUCCCAGACAAGUAUCCAGUGGGCCAUUUUCACCAACCCAUUCAAAUGCAGAGGCCUCAAAAAACUCAGCAUACACUGAUGAGCCUAACUCCACUCGGGCCUGACUGGUGGUGUCUUAGAGACACAGUGGUGACCUGACCCCCCAGGAACAGACAGACUGUGCUCCAGCUUUGGGAGAGCCAUGUUCAAGGUGCGGAGCACCGGGCAUCAUUGGAAACCUGUCAGGUUUACCGUCUCUGCUUUGGAGGAAAGCUUGUCAAAGACAGCAGUUAGCGGUGUGGACCUUGACUUGCCUGGUCUGAUCUGUUGUAUUUUUCUGUCUGGAAAUGGAAAUGUUCAGGAGCACUUCCACUUCCACUUCGCCUCUUAAUAAUUGAUGUUCCUAAAUUCUGUAUGCCCUAAGAGACAGUUCCUUUGAUUGCUGGGGGGACCAAGAUAAACACAUCUAGGGAUAUUCACUUAUACCAUAUUUCCUUAAAAAUUAGUUAGAACAGUGAAAGGAGCAGGAUAUAAGAUGUACUGCUCAUUUGCAAAAGAUAAAAGGCAAGCGAGACCUUCCCAUUAAGAUGUUUCUGUUCAUUCGAUUCCCUGUCCUGUGCAUUUGGAUGCAAACCCAACAGACUUGAAUUGUCAAGUUUCUCUUUUCCUGAGAUUGGUAAGUUAACUUAGGGGUUUUAAGUGUUUUGUUGAAGGCUGUGGAGGAGUAGUUAGCAGCCCUCAUGAUUUAUCUUGUCUCAAAAAGCCUAGGUGCUGAUCUACAUGAAAGUGAGACCUUGUUUGUAUUACACCUUCUGAUAGGUUGUGUUUCUGCUUCCUGAGUGUCCUGUACCAUCAAAAAGACUGGAAAACCUGGUCAUGGGAACCAGAUCCUACUACUUUGUGAAAAAUUUCCCUCUUCCUGAAUUAAUUACAUGCAAAUUCAUCAACACCUUUGUAAAGAAAGGAAGAAAAACUGUGUGGUGUCUAUGAACAUGGCAAGAUGAGGAGC
rnacentral:lncRNA from 1 species